GACUUCUCCCUCCCAGCCGAGAUUUUGUUACGUUGAGAUACAAAGUUGCUUUGUGAGCUCACUUUCAGAAAUAUAACUGUAAACUAGAUCCCUGCUUGAUUUAUCAUUGCUGCUGACCUCUCCAACCCUUUAAAAACCAGACUGUCCCUUGACUCUGCAUUUAUUUGCAGUUUUAAACAGGUUGCCAUUCCUAAUUUCAGCUACUCCUGCUAAACUCAACUCUAAACGUAUUGCUCCAAUACACCAGAAAUCCCAACUCAAUUUAAAGUGGAUUGCAAAUGCCAUCAAUCUGACUACUAUAGAUACAGCAGAACCCCAACAAGGUAUCAUUUCCAUUUAUUUUGUCUGAUACUAAAUGUUCCUGAAUUAUACAAACCCCACCACUGAUUGGAUAUCUUAAAGUGAUAUAUACUUGCGGGUUUGUUUGUUU